rnacentral:rRNA from 1 species
UACGUAGGGUGCGAGCGUUGUCCGGAAUUACUGGGCGUAAAGAGCUCGUAGGCGGUGUGUCGCGUCGGCCGUGAAAACCUGCAGCUUAACUGUGGGCUUGCGGUCGAUACGGGCAUCACUGGAGUUCGGCAGGGGAGACUGGAAUUCCUGGUGUAGCGGUGAAAUGCGCAGAUAUCAGGAGGAACACCAAUGGCGAAGGCAGCUCGCUGGAACGGUACUGACGCUGAGGCGCGAAAGCGUGGGGAGCAAACAGG